rnacentral:rRNA from 1 species
GGUAUUCCAGCUCUGUAAGCGUAUACCAAAGUUGUUGCAGGUAAAACGCUCGUAGUCGGAAUUUGGCGGUUCACAAAGUGAUUCGAAUCGCUCGUACACUUUGCCUUGGGAUCCGCUUUUGUGGGAGAAGUGCGCACACCUUGUGUGUUUGUGUAUCUUUGCUUGCGUAGGAUGAGGUACAUUUAUUUGUAAACGUCCUUUCACGCACCCACUCUUUACUGUGAGAAAAUCAGAGUGCUCAAAGCAGGCUUGUGCCGUGAAUGUAUUAGCAUGGAAUAAUAGAAUAGGACUUGGUCUUAUUUUGUUGGUUGUUGUUAAGGUCGAGUAAUGAUUAAGAGGGACAGUUGGGGGCAUUUGUAUUCCGGCGCUAGAGGUGAAAUUCUUAGAUUGCCGGAAGACAAACUGCUGCGAAAGCGUCUGCCAAGGAUGUUUUCAUUGAUCAAGAACGAAAGUAAGGGGAUCAAAGACGAUCAGAUACCGUCGUAGUCUUUACUAUAAACGAUGAGGACUGGGGAUCGGGCGAGGAAUUACGAUGACCCGCCCGGCACCCUUCGAGAAAUCAAAGUGUUUGCUUUCUGGGGGGAGUAUGGUCGCAAGGCUGAAACUUAAAGGAAUUGACGGAAGGGCAUCACCGGGUGUGGAGCCUGCGGCUUAAUUUGACUCAACACGGGAAAACUUACCAGGUCAGGACAUAG